GAAAAAGGCAUUUUAAGAUAGCCAGCUAAAUGCCAGAAAGUUGUAAAAUGGCUUUUUAACUUAGCUUAUUUCUUAAUUAGAUUACUGGUUUUAGGGUGGAGCCCUUUAAGGAACUCAGCCUAAGAAAGCAGUCAGUCUUCAGGGCCUAAAGGAUGCUUUUCUUAUCCAAACACUCAAAGAGGAGCACCCUGUAGUAAUAACUGUUCACUGUAAGCAACUGCCAUCAGCCAUUCUAAAAGUGUAUUUCUCACCUAGCCAUGACACAUACCAAGGUUAAUUUUUUUCAUAAAGUAAUUUCUGGUACCCCCCAAAGCCAAGAAGAUCAGGAAAUGCAAUACAAAAGGGAACAGAAUUUUAGAUCUGAGAUAACUCCGUCCAUUUACAGCUUUGGGGAUUCCCUAAGGAAAAAUAGCAGUUACUACCAAAAAGGAACAUGUGGCACCUUUUUCUGUUAAUUUCUCUUUUUUUUUUUUUAAGGCAUCAAGUUGUUAGAAUUUACUAUGUAUGUGUCUGUCUGUCUGUCUAUCUCUAUCUAUGUAUCUAUGUAUCUAUCUAUCUAUCUAUCUAUAGAGACUAGCCUAAAUAUAGGUUUUAAUUAAGUCAACUUUUGACUAUAGAGCUCUUAAAAAAUCCUCUCAAACCUCUUAUUACCAGAAUUUGCCAGGGACAAAGAGUUUAUAUUUUAAAUCACACAACUGUCAAACCAGAAAGGACUUGUUCCCUGGCCAGGAAUUGAACCUAGGCCACCACAGUGAAAGGGCAGAACCGUAACUCCUGGACACAGAAUGGAGUGUCUCCGUUGUUCUUCCCAGAAGGAAUGUAAAGCAGGCACUUUUGACCUUGAAUAGGAUUUUAACUUUGUUUUAGGUCAGAUCUGCUCGAAAGAAUAGCUAUAACAUUACUUUGUGUCCCUUUAAUUUAACCUUUCCAACAAUUGUUUAGAAUAAAAGAUGGGGGUCUCGCUUUGUUGCCCAGGCUAAUCUGGAACUCCUGGGCUCAAGCGAUCCUCCCGUCUAGGCCUCAUAAAGUGCUAGGGUUACAGGCAUGAGCCACCCCACCUGGCCCAAUUUGAUACCUUUAAUCUGAGAAAGUUUUUAGGGUAACUUUAAAUCUUGUCGGCAAAUAGAAGGUGGAAAAUUAUUAAACAUUGAAAGGAUACUUCCUAUUAAUAUUCUCUAUUUUUUUAUCCUCAAUAUUUAUUUCUACUCCAGUAUUUUUUGUUUGUUUUAGUAAUCUAUUUAGAGUAACAAUAAAGCAGGUGAGUGAAGGAGCACAAGGAACUUCAUCCCCAAUUAAUCUGCCUUUUAUCAGUUGAUUUUUCAGUGAAACUUCAGAGGGCAAAGUGGAAGGGUCCCCUUGGCUCCUUCAUGAUAACCUAAUCUGAUUUGUGCCAUCUGCGGCUUCUGAAAAAAAAAAUCUUUAGUGGGACAGAGAAAUAAUUAACAUCUUCCAUGAGGUUUCUUUUUCCUGUGAAGACCAAGUAUGAUUCUGUUUUGGGAACAUUCUGUAAUUCUUCAUAGAUUUUUAAAUUAGAAGGGGAGUGUCUUAGUUUCUCUUAUUUAUCCUCCUCCUUUCAGAGGAGACAGCAAGACCCAGAAAAGUGAAGAACCUGCCUGAACAUGGUCAGUGGCAGACUCAGAAGUGGAACUCAAGCCUUUUGCUUGUCCCCCCCACGUUUUUGAUGCAGAGUUUUUAUAGCUCCUCAAGGGAGGAAGGAACAGAAGGGACCCUGCAGUCCAAGGUCAGUGGUUUAGAAAGUUGGUAGUUGAGAAGGAUCCAUGUCACACUCCCUGUUUCCUGAGCUACCCCCAGGAAAUACAGAGAAGAGUUUACUCAGUGAUCAGAGAGUCAAUGGAGGUUUUCUGAGUCAGGUAACCAGGAUUCUGAGUUUGUGUUUUUUCUAAAUCUGGGUUGUUGAUGGAGAAGUAGACUGGAUUUUAUUAAUACUUGCAAGACACAGGGUACAUUUUUUUCAGUGGUUUUCUUUCCCUUGUUUGAUUUUUAUAAAGGUACAUCAUAGUUUGACCUUCUAAAGGUACAAGCUGAGGAGUACAUUAUUCAUCAGGGGAAAUUUUUCUAGGGCAUCUGUUUUCGAAACAUAGGCCUAGGAUUGUGUGGGUCCUGAUAAGCAAAAAUUUAAAAAAAAAAAAAAAACUUUGCCCUUGUCGGCAUUUUGGACCCACUGUUUUUGACAUUUUUUCAAAAUGCUUCAACAUCACAUUCAAGUCUCAGUGUAAAAGGGGCUAUCAUUUUCCUUUGAGUUUUCUCACUGGGCUUUUAGAGUUUGAUAGGAAACAUGGUGAUAGUUGCAACUAAAGAGAAUGCUAAGAUGAGAAGGAAAAGAGACACAUUGGGGGGCUGAGAUGCGCUUAGAGCUCCAUGGUCUCGUGGGAAUGGAUUUAAACCAAUGGUUCCCACCGAGUUCUUAGUGCUGUCAAGUUCUGCAGGUCAGCUGGUCAUCACAGGCUGGAUCAUGUAUUUUAUGUGCACUCAGCAUUAUAUUCAGAACUUGAAAUAGCAGUGUGAAAAAGAGAUAGUUGCUUUCUAUAAUCAGCUUCUGGGUAUGCAUUUCUAAAAAUAGCUUUGAGGGACAAGGUCCUGGACUCUGUGGUUUCUAGUUUCUGGAGGUGGGGGUGAGGAGGAAGGUGCUGGGGUCCUCAGGACUUAUUUCUAAACCCUUGCUUUGCUGUACAAAAAGGUCAAUUUUAGUAUUCACUGGGAUAGAAAAGUGGGUAUUGGGAGUCAUUUAAAAAGUCUAAUGAAAGUUGAAGGCGCCAGGGGAGGUUCUCUUGCAGGAGUGGGAGGCAACAAUUUACAAUUCCUUCUCCAGUCCUUUUUGCCAGUUCUCCAGCAGUUCUCUGCAGGGGAGCCUGGGUUUCUUUCAAGAUUGUUUCAAUGUUAAAUUGACACUAAAUCAAGAGCACAGUAAGUCCCAACCUAGUCUUUUUAAGUGAAGAAAAUUUUGAAGGCAGCCAGGGCUCCUGUGGGGAGUGGAUGCAGAAUCAAGGAGGCAGCAAAUAAAACCACUGAAGAGGGUGGGAAAUUGGAAGCAGAAAUUAAAAGGCUUUUACAUUUCUAUAAAAAUAUGUUGUCUGUCUUCAUAUGUCUUUUUCUCACUGCAUCUUCUAGUAUUAUUUGUUUUACGUGGUGAAGAGCUUCCCUAGUCCAAAAGAACAAACAUUACCUUUAAAACAUUUUCUCCAUGCUAUGUUCCUUUAUCUACCUGCACAGCACCUUGUUGGCUCAAGCUCUCAGCCAGUGUCUUCGUGCUUUGCAACACACCUGAGUCAUAUAUUCAUGGAUCAAUGAAAGACGCCGCAUGGUAUCUUAAAAGGAUGCUAAGAAUCAGAUCCUGACUUGAAGUCAUGGUGCUGAUUGAUGGUGACUAGAUCUCUUUUUGGUAAAAUAUAGCUAAUCAUGUCACUCAGUUGCUUAAUAAAACUCAAAAGCAAUAUACAGGACAGUGCAUCAUGGAAAAGAUUAUUAAAUAUAAGUGUCACUUAAUUUUGUUAUGCAGACA
rnacentral:lncRNA from 1 species